UGCUUCCGGAGCGAGUCGUCGAA
rnacentral:miRNA from 1 species